rfam:Beta vulgaris subsp. vulgaris chromosome 5, whole genome shotgun sequence.
GAAAGCCUUGUGAUGGGAAACUAUCACGUUAGGUUUGGAGAGAGAUGAGACCAGUUAAUAAUACAGAGAGCAAAUGCAAGCUUUUUGGUUCAAUAGCCGACCAAAUGACUACAGGAUCAUCGGUCUACUCUAC